UGGCUCUGGACCCUGCUUGCUGGGGGUUGUGUGGCGAACGGGUGAGUAACACGUGAGUAACCUGCCCUUAACUCUGGGAUAAGCCUGGGAAACUGGGUCUAAUACCGGAUAUGACUCCUCAUCGCAUGGUGGGGGGUGGAAAGCUUUUUGUGGUUUUGGAUGGACUCGCGGCCUAUCAGCUUGUUGGUGAGGUAAUGGCUCACCAAGGCGACGACGGGUAGCCGGCCUGAGAGGGUGACCGGCCACACUGGGACUGAGACACGGCCCACACUCCUACGGGAGGCAGCAGUGGGGAAUAUUGCACAAUGGGCGCAAGCCUGAUGCACCGACGCCGCGUGAGGGAUGACGGCCUUCGGGUUGUAAACCUCUUUCAGUAGGGAAAAAGCGAAAGUGACGGUACCUGCAGAAGAAGCGCCGGCUAACUACGUGCCAGCAGCCGCGGUAAUACGUAGGGCGCAAGCGUUAUCCGGAAUUAUUGGGCGUAAAGAGCUCGUAGGCGGUUUGUCGCGUCUGCCGUGAAAGUCCGGGGCUCAACUCCGGAUCUGCGGUGGGUACGGGCAGACUAUAGUGAUGUAGGGGAGACUGGAAUUCCUGGUGUAGCGGUGAAAUGCUCAGAUAUCAGGAGGAACACCGAUGGCGAACGCAGGUCUCUGGGCAUUAACUGACGCUGAGGAGCGAAAGCAUGGGGAGCGAACAGGAUUAGAUACCCUGGUAGUCCAUGCCGUAAACGUUGGGCACUAGGUGUGGGGGACAUUCCACGUUUUCCGCGCCGUACCUAACGCAUUAAGUGCCCCGCCUGGGGAGUACGGCCGCAGGCUAAAACUCAAAGGAAUUGACUGGGGCUCGCACAAGCGGCGGAGCAUGCGGAUAAUUCGAUGCACGCGAAGAACCUUACAAGGCUU
rnacentral:rRNA from 1 species